rnacentral:tRNA from 2 species
GUGGGUGUGGCCUAGUGGUUAAGGCGUCAGGUUGUGGCCCUGAAGAUCGAGGGUUCAAAUCCCUCCACUCACCCCA